rnacentral:rRNA from 1 species
UACGUAGGGUGCAAGCGUUGUCCGGAAUUAUUGGGCGUAAAGGAUGCGUAGGCGGACAUUUAAGUCAGAUGUGAAAUACCCGAGCUUAACUUGGGUGCUGCAUUUGAAACUGGGUGUCUAGAGUGCAGGAGAGGUAAGUGGAAUUCCUAGUGUAGCGGUGAAAUGCGUAGAGAUUAGGAAGAACACCAGUGGCGAAGGCGACUUACUGGACUGUAACUGACGCUGAGGCAUGAAAGCGUGGGGAGCAAACAGGG